rnacentral:misc_RNA from 1 species
GGGUCGAUGAAGAACGCAGCCAGCUGCGUGAAGUAAUGUGAAUUGCAGGACACAUUGAACAUCGAUAUCUUGAACGCACAUUGCGGCCUCGGGUAUUCCCGAGGCCACGCCUGUCUCAGGGUCGGUUGAACUUAUCAAUCGUCGGUUGUCCGUCCGUUUGCCGACGCAUUGGAUCGUCGCGGCGCGUUGACCGAAAAGGCUCGAACAGCAGCACGACGUCGGUUGUCCUUCAAUUGCCGAUGUUGAUGCUGCUCGACAGCUGCGCGCCACGUCGUCCGAAGUACAGACGGGUCCGCCGAUGCUACGCCGCCGGCCGCACGUCCUAAGUCCGCCAGUCGUGGACGGGGACGGCGACUCGGAUACAAUAAUCCAGGAAGCCGUCGCCCGUCGUGGCGGUACGGCCGGCAGUGGCUCAUUCGGUGGACCCACGAAGACGAAUGUGCGAGUGGGAGGAGGGUACUGUGGGUGUGAGUGAGUGAGUGAGUGCGGAACGGCGGCGGCGAAAGCUGUUGCUGUGACGCGAGAGCUCGCCGCGCUCGCAUUUCCUCCUCCUGUUCGCUCCUCUCUUCGACCUGAGAUCAGACGAGAUUACCCGCUGAAUUUAAGCAUAU